GAUGAACGCUGGCGGCGUGCCUAAUACAUGCAAGUCGAGCGAACGGACGAGAAGCUUGCUUCUCUGAUGUUAGCGGCGGACGGGUGAGUAACACGUGGAUAACCUACCUAUAAGACUGGGAUAACUUCGGGAAACCGUAGCUAAUACCGGAUAAUAUUUUGAACCGCAUGGUUCAAAAGUGAAGGACGGUCUUGCUGUCACUUAUAGAUGGAUCCGCGCUGCAUUAGCUAGUUGGUAAGGUAACGGCUUACCAAGGCAACGAUGCAUAGCCGACCUGAGAGGGUGAUCGGCCACACUGGAACUGAGACACGGUCCAGACUCCUACGGGAGGCAGCAGUAGGGAAUCUUCCGCAAUGGGCGAAAGCCUGACGGAGCAACGCCGCGUGAGUGAUGAAGGUCUUCGGAUCGUAAAACUCUGUUAUUAGGGAAGAACAUAUGUGUAAGUAACUGUGCACAUCUUGACGGUACCUAAUCAGAAAGCCACGGCUAACUACGUG
rnacentral:rRNA from 1 species